AGGAAUAUUGGUCAAUGGGCGCGAGCCUGAACCAGCCAAGUAGCGUGAAGGAUGGAGGUCCUACGGAUUGUAAACUUCUUUUAUAAGGGAAUAAAGUCACCCACGUGUGGGUGUUUGUAUGUACCUUAUGAAUAAGCAUCGGCUAACUCCGUGCCAGCAGCCGCGGUAAUACGGAGGAUGCGAGCGUUAUCCGGAUUUAUUGGGUUUAAAGGGAGCGUAGACGGGCCGUUAAGUCAGCUGUGAAAGUUUGAGGCUCAACCUUAAAAUUGCAGUUGAUACUGGCGUCCUUGAGUACGGUUGAGGCAGGCGGAAUUCGUGGUGUAGCGGUGAAAUGCUUAGAUAUCACGAAGAACCCCGAUUGCGAAGGCAGCCUGCUAAACCGCCACUGACGUUGAGGCUCGAAAGUGUGGGUAUCAAACAGGAUUAGAUACCCUGGUAGUCCACACGGUAAACGAUGGAUACUCGCUGUUGGCGAUAGACUGUCAGCGGCUUAGCGAAAGCGUUAAGUAUCCCACCUGGGGAGUACGCCGGCAACGGUGAAACUCAAAGGAAUUGACGGGGGCCCGCACAAGCGGAGGAACAUGUGGUUUAAUUCGAUGAUACGCGAGGAACCUUACCCGGGCUUGAAUUGCAGACGAAUUGCUUGGAAACAGGCAAGCCGCAAGGCGUCUGUGAAGGUGCUGCAUGGUUGUCGUCAGCUCGUGCCGUGAGGUGUCGGCUUAAGUGCCAUAACGAGCGCAACCCUCGUGUCCAGUUACUAGCAGGUUAUGCUGAGGACUCUGGACAGACUGCCAUCGUAAGAUGUGAGGAAGGUGGGGAUGACGUCAAAUCAGCACGGCCCUUACGUCCGGGGCUACACACGUGUUACAAUGGGGGGUACAGCAGGCAGCUACCGGGCGACCGGAUGCCAAUCCCGAAAGCCUCUCUCAGUUCGGACUGGAGUCUGCAACCCGACUCCACGAAGCUGGAUUCGCUAGUAAUCGCGCAUCAGCCACGGCGCGGUGAAUACGUUCCCG
rnacentral:rRNA from 1 species